CAGCCGCCGCGGUAAUACGUAUGUCGCAAGCGUUAUCCGGAAUCACUGGGCAUAAAGGGCGUCUAGGCGGUUUAAAAAGUCAGUGGUGAAAGGUAUCGGCUCAACCGAUACAUAGCCAUUGAAACUCUUAGACUAGAGUAUGGGAGAGGAGGGCGGAACUACAAGAGUAGAGGUGAAAUUCGUAGAUAUUUGUAGGAAUGCCAAUGACGAAGGUAGCUCUCUGGACCAAUACUGACGCUAAAGCGCGAAAGCUAGGGUAGCAAACAGGAUUAGAUACCCUGGUAGUCCUAGCUGUAAACGAUGAUUACUGGGUGUGGGCUGUCAAAGGUCUGUGCCGAAGCUAAUGCGAUAAGUAAUCCGCCUGGGGAGUACGACCGCAAGGUUGAAACUCAAAGGAAUUGACGGGGACCCGCACAAGCGGUGGAGCAUGUGGUUUAAUUCGACGCAACGCGAGGAACCUUACCAGGACUUGACAUCCUAAGAACUUAGCAGAGAUGCUUUGGUGCCUUUUCGGAGGAACUUAGAGACAGGUGGUGCAUGGCC
rnacentral:rRNA from 1 species